GCGGGCAAGAGACCGAGCAGGUCCCUGUGUCUCCAAGUCCCUGAGCCCGUGACACCGGCCCCAGGCCCUGUAGAGAGCAGGCAGCCACCAUGGCGAAGGAGGAAGAUGAGGAGAAGAAAGCCAAGAAAGGGAAGAAGGGGAAGAAGGCACUGGAGCCAGAGAAGCCCAAACGGAGCCUGAAGGGGACGUCGCGGCUGUUCAUGGGCUUCCGCGACCGUACACCCAAGAUCUCCAAGAAGGGCCAGUUCCGCAGCGCCUCGGCCUUCUUCUGGGGCCUCCACACCGGCCCCCAGAAGACCAAGCGCAAGAAGAAGGCCCGCACCGUGCUCAAGUCCACGUCAAAGCUCAUGACGCAGAUGCGCAUGGGCAAGAAGAAGCGGGCGAUGAAGGGCAAGAAGCCGUCCUUCAUGGUGAUCCGCUUCCCAGGCCGCUGUGGCUACGGCCGCCUGCGGCCGCGCGCCCGGUCACUCAGCAAAGCGUCCACGGCCAUCAACUGGCUCACAAAAAAGUUCCUCCUCAAGAAGGCCGAGGAGUCGGGCAGCGAACAGGCCACAGUGGACGCCUGGCUGCAGCGCUCGAGCUCCCGCAUGGGCUCCCGCAAACUCCCCUUCCCGUCGGGUGCCGAGAUCCUGCGGCCCGGGGGCCGGCUCCAGAGGUUCCCCCGCAGCCGCAGCAUCUACGCGUCAGGCGAGCCCCUGGGCUUCCUGCCCUUCGAGGACGAGGCCCCGUUCCAUCACUCGGGCUCCCGCAAGUCGCUGUACGGGCUUGAGGGCUUCCAGGACCUGGGCGAGUAUUAUGACUAUCACCGCGACGGCGACGACUACUACGACCGGCAGUCACUCCACCGCUACGAGGAGCAGGAACCCUACCUGGCGGGCCUCGGCCCCUACAGCCCGGCCUGGCCACCCUACGGCGACUACUACUACGGGUACCCGCCCGAGGAUCCCUAUGACUACUACCACCCCGACUAUUACGGUGGCCCCUUUGAUCCGGGGUACACCUACGGCUAUGGCUACGACGAUUACGAACCCCCAUAUGCGCCCCCGUCGGGGUACUCGUCUCCUUACAGCUACCACGAUGGGUACGAGGGCGAGGCGCACCCUUAUGGCUACUACCUGGAUCCCUAUGCGCCGUACGACGCGCCAUACCCACCCUAUGACCUCCCAUACCACACUCCCUACGAUGUACCCUACUUUGAUCCCUACGGAGUCCACUACACCGUCCCCUAUGCCGAAGGCGUCUAUGGCGGUGGGGACGAGGCCAUCUACCCCCCCGAGGUGCCCUAUUUUUACCCGGAGGAGUCGGCUUCGGCCUUUGUGUACCCCUGGGUACCACCGCCCAUCCCGUCGCCCCACAACCCCUAUGCCCACGCCAUGGAUGACAUCGCCGAGCUGGAGGAACCAGAGGACGCGGGCGUAGAGCGUCAGGGGACCUCCUUCCGCCUGCCCAGCGCCGCCUUCUUCGAGCAGCAAGGUAUGGAUAAGCCCGCCAGGUCCAAGCUGUCCCUCAUCCGCAAGUUCCGCCUCUUCCCGCGACCCCAGGUGAAGCUGUUUGGGAAGGAGAAGCUGGAGGUGCCCCUGCCACCCUCUCUGGACAUUCCUCUCCCCUUGGGGGAUGCGGAUGAAGAAGAGGACGAGGAGGAGCUGCCCCCGGUUUCCGCUGUGCCCUACGGCCACCCUUUCUGGGGCUUCCUCACGCCGCGCCAGCGCAACCUCCAGCGCGCGCUGUCGGCCUUCGGCGCCCACCGGGGCCUGGGCUUCGGCCCUGAGUUUGGCCGCCCCGUGCCUCGCCCUGCCACCUCGCUUGCGCGGUUCCUCAAGAAGACGCUGUCGGAGAAGAAGCCCAUCACGCGGCUCAGGGGCAGCCAGAAGGCCCGGGCGGGCGGCCCUGCUGUCAGGGAGGCGGCCUACAAACGCUUCGGCUACAAGCUGGCUGGCAUGGACCCGGAGAAGCCCGGCACGCCCAUCGUGCUGAGGAGGGCCCAGCCGCGCGCUCGCAGCAGCAACGACGCGCGCCGCCCGCCCGCGCCACAGCCCGCGCCCAGGACCCUCUCCCACUGGAGCGCGCUCCUGUCUCCGCCCGUGCCCCCGCGGCCCCCAAGCCCCGGACCCCCGCCCGCGCCGCCGCUCUCCCCGGCGCUCUCGGGCCUGCCCCGGCCGGCCUCGCCCUACGGCUCCCUCCGCCGCCACCCGCCGCCCUGGGCCGCCCCAGCGCACGUGCCACCGGCGCCGCAGGCCAGCUGGUGGGCCUUCGUGGAGCCCCCUGCCGUGAGCCCGGAGGUGCCCCCCGACCUACUAGCCUUCCCAGGGCCCCGACCCUCGUUCAGGGGCUCCCGCCGGAGAGGGGCGGCUUUCGGCUUCCCCGGGGCCUCUCCACGGGCGUCGCGGAGGCGAGCUUGGUCACCGCUGGCCUCGCCCCAGCCCUCGCUGAGGAGCUCGCCGGGCCUCGGCUACUGCUCACCCUUGGCGCCCCGGUCGCCUCAGCUGUCCUUGCGCACGGGCCCCUUCCAGCCGCCCUUCCCAACCCCGGCCCGCCGGCCCCGCUCGCUGCAGGAGUCCCCAGCCCCACGCCGAGCCGCUGGGCGCCUGGGCCCACCCGGCUCGCCGCUGCCGGGCUCACCCAGGCCGCCCUCGCCGCCCCUGGGGCUCUGCCACAGCCCGCGGCGCAGCUCCCUGAAUCUGCCCUCGCGCCUCCCGCACACGUGGCGGCGCCUCAGCGAGCCACCCACUCGGGCUGUGAAGCCUCAAGUGCGCCUGCCCUUCCACCGACCGCCCAGGGCCGGGGCCUGGCGGGCGCCCCUGGAACACCGGGAGAGCCCGCGAGAACCCGAGGACUCAGAGACGCCCUGGACCGUGCCCCAACUGGCCCCCAGCUGGGACGUGGACAUGCCUCCCACCCAACGCCCACCCUCCCCCUGGCCAGGAGGUGCAGGCAGCCGCCGAGGCUUUUCCAGGCCACCCCCUGUGCCGGAAAACCCCUUUCUCCAGCUCCUGGGCCCUGUGCCAUCCCCCACCCUCCAGCCUGAGGAUCCAGCUGCUGAUAUGACCAGGGUCUUCCUGGGCAGACACCAUGAGCCGGGGCCUGGACAGCUCACCAAAUCAGCUGGUCCAACCCCUGAGAAGCCUGAAGAAGAGGCCACCCUGGGGGACCCCCAGCUGCCAGCAGAGACCAAGCCUCCAACCCCAGCACCUCCCAAGGAUGUCACUCCCCCCAAGGAUAUCACUCCCCCCAAGGAUAUCACUCCCCCCAAGGAUGUCCUCCCAGAGCAAAAGACAUUAAGGCCCAGCCUCUCAUACCCACUGGCUGCGUGUGACCAGACCAGGGCCACAUGGCCACCAUGGCACCGCUGGGGAACACUGCCCCAAGCCGCAGCCCCCUUGGCGCCCAUCAGGGCCCCAGAGCCCCUGCCCAAGGGGGGUGAACGGCGCCAGGCAGCCCCUGGGCGUUUUGCUGUGGUCAUGCCUCGUGUGCAGAAGCUGAGCUCUUUCCAGCGAGUUGGACCUGCAACCCUGAAGCCUCGAGUCCAGCCCAUCCAGGACCCCAAGCCAAGAGCCUGUAGUCUUCGCUGGUCCUGCCUCUGGCUUCGGGCAGAUGCCUAUGGACCCUGGCCACGAGUACACACCCAUCCCCAGUCCUGCCACCUGGGCCCUGGAGCUGCCUGCCUGUCCCUUAGGGGCUCCUGGGAGGAGGUCGGCCCCCCAAGCUGGCGGAACAAGAUGCACUCCAUCCGCAACCUGCCAUCCAUGCGGUUCCGUGAGCAGCACGGGGAGGAUGGUGUGGAGGACAUGACACAGCUGGAAGACCUCCAGGAAACCACUGUGCUGUCCAACCUCAAGAUUAGAUUUGAACGGAACCUCAUCUACACAUACAUUGGGAGCAUCCUGGUGUCGGUGAACCCAUACCAAAUGUUUGGAAUCUAUGGGCCGGAGCAGGUGCAGCAGUACAACGGACGGGCCCUGGGAGAGAAUCCCCCGCACCUUUUUGCUGUUGCAAAUCUCGCCUUCGCCAAAAUGCUCGAUGCCAAACAGAACCAGUGCAUAAUCAUUAGUGGAGAGAGCGGCUCUGGCAAAACUGAGGCCACCAAGCUGAUUCUGCGCUACCUGGCCGCCAUGAACCAGAAACGGGAGGUCAUGCAGCAGAUCCUGGAGGCAACACCCCUCUUGGAGUCCUUCGGUAAUGCCAAAACCGUCAGGAACGACAACUCCAGCCGCUUUGGGAAGUUCGUGGAAAUCUUUCUGGAAGGGGGCGUGAUCUCUGGUGCCAUAACCUCCCAGUACCUGCUUGAGAAAUCCAGGAUCGUGUUUCAGGCCAAAAACGAGAGGAAUUACCACAUCUUCUACGAGUUGCUGGCCGGGUUGCCUGCCCAGCUCCGGCAGGCCUUUAGCCUGCAAGAGGCUGAGACCUACUACUAUCUGAACCAGGGUGGGAACUGUGAGAUAGCAGGAAAGAGCGAUGCAGAUGACUUUCGCCGGCUCCUGGCUGCCAUGGAGGUGUUGGGCUUCAGCAGUGAGGACCAGGACAGCAUCUUCCGCAUCCUGGCCUCCAUCCUGCACCUGGGCAACGUCUACUUUGAGAAGUAUGAGACGGAUGCACAGGAGGUGGCCUCAGUGGUGAGUGCCCGAGAGAUCCAGGCUGUGGCAGAGCUGCUGCAGAUCUCCCCUGAGGGCCUGCAGAAGGCCAUCACCUUCAAAGUGACUGAGACAAUGCGAGAGAAGAUCUUCACGCCCCUAACUGUGGAGAGCGCUGUGGAUGCUAGGGAUGCCAUCGCCAAGGUCUUGUAUGCACUGCUGUUCAGCUGGCUCAUCACCAGGGUCAACGCGCUGGUGUCCCCAAGGCAGGACACACUGUCCAUCGCCAUCCUGGACAUCUAUGGUUUCGAGGACCUGAGCUUCAACAGCUUUGAGCAGCUGUGUAUUAACUACGCAAACGAGAACCUUCAGUACCUUUUCAACAAGAUCGUCUUCCAGGAGGAGCAGGAGGAGUACAUCCGUGAGCAGAUCGACUGGCAGGAGAUCACCUUUGCUGACAACCAGCCCUGCAUCAACCUCAUCUCACUGAAGCCUUAUGGCAUCCUGCGGAUCCUUGACGACCAGUGUUGCUUUCCCCAGGCUACAGACCACACCUUCCUACAGAAGUGCCACUACCAUCAUGGCGCCAACCCACUCUAUUCCAAACCCAAGAUGCCGCUGCCUGAGUUCACCAUCAAGCACUAUGCAGGCAAGGUCACCUACCAGGUGCACAAGUUCCUGGACAAGAACCACGACCAAGUGCGCCAGGAUGUGCUGGACCUGUUUGUACGGAGCCGGACACGGGUGGUGGCACACCUCUUCUCCAGCCAUGCCCCACAGGCUGCCCCUCAGCGCCUGGGCAAGAGCAGCUCCGUCACUCGGCUCUACAAGGCGCACACUGUGGCCGCCAAGUUCCAGCAGUCACUCCUGGAUCUGGUGGAAAAGAUGGAGAGGUGUAACCCCUUGUUCAUGCGUUGCCUGAAGCCCAACCACAAGAAGGAGCCAGGUCUCUUUGAGCCAGAUGUGGUAAUGGCACAAUUACGCUAUUCAGGGGUGCUGGAGACCGUGAGGAUCCGCAAGGAGGGAUUUCCAGUGCGCCUGCCUUUCCAGGGGUUCAUCGACAGGUACUGCUGUCUAGUGGCCCUCAAGCAUGACCUGCCGGCUAAUGGGGACAUGUGUGUGUCAGUGCUGAGUCGCCUGUGCAAAGUCAUGCCAAACAUGUACCGUGUUGGGGUCAGCAAGCUGUUCCUUAAGGAACACCUAUACCAGCUGCUGGAGAGUAUGCGAGAGCAUGUCCUGAAUCUGGCAGCCCUCACUCUGCAGCGCUGCCUCCGUGGCUUCUUCAUUAAGCGGCAAUUCCGCUCUCUGCGCCACAAGAUCAUCCUGCUGCAAAGCCGGGCCCGUGGCUACCUUGCCAGGCAACGCUAUCAGCAGAUGAGGAGGAGUCUGGUGAAGUUCCGGUCCCUGGUACACGCAUACGUGAGCCGCCGACGCUAUCUCAAGGAGCUGAGCAAGCGGGAGGUAGUCGCUGUGGGGCACCUGGAGGUACCGGCUGAGCUGGCUGGGCUCUUGCAAGCAGUGGCAGGCCUCGGGCUGGCCCAGGUGCCUCAGGUGGCCCCUGUGAGGACUCCUCGACUCCAGGCUGAGCCCCGUGUCACACUGCCCCUGGACAUCAACAACUAUCCUAUGGCCAAGUUUGUCCAGUGCCACUUCAAGGAACCUGCCUUUGGGAUGCUGACAGUGCCCCUGAGGACACCCCUCACGCAGCUGCCAGCCGAGCACCAUGCAGAAGCCGUGAGCAUCUUCAAGCUGAUCCUGCGCUUCAUGGGCGACCCCCACCUGCAUGGUGCCCGGGAGAACAUCUUCGGGAACUACAUUGUGCAGAAGGGGCUGGCGGUGCCUGAGCUGCGGGACGAGAUCCUGGCACAGCUGGCCAAUCAGGUGUGGCACAAUCACAAUGCCCACAAUGCUGAGCGGGGCUGGCUGCUGCUGGCCGCCUGCCUCAGUGGCUUUGCACCUUCCCCGUGCUUCAACAAGUACCUUCUCAAGUUUGUGUCUGAUUAUGGGCGGAAUGGCUUCCAGGCUGUGUGUCAGCACCGCCUCAUGCAGGCCAUGGGCCGGGCCCAACAGCAGGGCUCGGGGGCUGCCCGCACCUUACCCCCGACCCAGCUCGAGUGGACAGCGACCUAUGAGAAGGCCAGCAUGGCGCUGGACGUGGGCUGCUUCAAUGGUGACCAGUUCUCCUGCCCGGUGCACUCCUGGAGUACGGGGGAAGAGGUGGCUGGAGACAUUCUGAGGCACAGGGGGCUGGCAGAUGGCUGGCGCGGCUGGACCGUGGCCAUGAAGAAUGGUGUCCAGUGGGCAGAGCUGGCUGGCCACGACUACGUGUUAGACCUGGUGUCGGACCUGGAGCUGCUCAGGGACUUCCCUCGACAGAAGUCCUACUUCAUUGUGGGCACAGAGGGGCCUGCAGCCAGCAGGGGAGGCCCCAAAGUGGUGUUUGGGAACAGCUGGGACUCGGAUGAGGACAUGUCCACUAGACCCCAGCCCCAGGAGCACAUGCCCAAAGUACUUGACUCUGAUGGGUACAGCAGCCACAAUCAGGACGGUACAAAUGGGGAGACUGAGGCCCAAAGAGGGACAGCAACCCACCAAGAGUCAGACAGUCUUGGAGAGCCUGCUGUGCCCCACAAGGGGCUGGACUGCUACCUGGAUAGCCUCUUCGACCCUGUGCUGUCCUACGGGGAUGCGGACCUGGAGAAGCCAACAGCCAUUGCCUACCGCAUGAAAGGGGGAGGCCAGCCCGGUGGAGGCAGCAGUAGUGGUACUGAAGACACCCCCAGGAGACCCCCAGAGCCAAAGCCAAUCCCAGGCCUGGAUGCCUCCACAUUGGCUCUGCAGCAAGCCUUCAUCCACAAACAGGCCGUGCUGCUGGCCCGGGAGAUGACCCUGCAGGCCAUGGCACUCCAGCAGCAGCCCCUGAGUGCUGCCCUGAGAUCCUUGCCCGCAGAGAAACCCCCAGCACCAGAGGCACAGCCGACGUCUGUAGGCACCGGUCCCCCUGCCAAACCCGUGCUCCUGCGUGCCACUCCAAAGCCCUUAGCCCCAGCCCCUCUGGCCAAGGCUCCAAGGCUCCCCUUCAAGCCUGUGGCUGCCCCUGUUCUAGCUCAGGAUCAGGCUUCUCCAGAAACCACUUCACCCUCCCCAGAGCUGGUCCGGUACUCUACGCUCAACUCUGAGCACUUCCCACAGCCCACACAGCAGAUCAAGAAUAUUGUCAGGCAGUACCAGCAGCCGUUCCGGGGAGGCCGGCCUGAGGCCCUCAGGAAGGAUGGCGGGAAAGUGUUCAUGAAGCGGCCAGACCCUCACGAGGAGGCCCUGAUGAUCCUGAAAGGGCAGAUGACCCACCUGGCAGCUGCACCUGGCACCCAGGUGUCCAGAGAGGCCGUGGCCCUGGUGAAGCCGGUGACCAGUGCACCAAGGCCAUCCAUGGCACCCACUUCAGCUCUGCCCUCGCGAUCGCUGGAGCCCCCUGAGGAACUCACGCAGACGCGGCUGCACCGCCUCAUCAAUCCCAACUUCUACGGCUAUCAGGACGCCCCCUGGAAGAUCUUCCUGCGCAAAGAGGUGUUUUACCCCAAGGACAGCUACAGCCAUCCUGUGCAGCUUGACCUCCUGUUCCGGCAGAUCCUGCACGACACGCUCUCCGAGGCCUGCCUUCGCAUCUCUGAGGAUGAGAGGCUCAGGAUGAAGGCCUUGUUUGCCCAGAACCAGCUGGACACACAGAGGCCUCUGGUAACGGAAAGUGUGAAGCGGGCCGUGGUCAGCACUGCACGAGACACCUGGGAGGUCUACUUCUCCCGCAUCUUCCCCGCCAUGGGCAGCGUGGGCACUGGUGUGCAGCUCCUAGCUGUGUCCCACGUGGGCAUCAAACUCCUGAGGAUGGUCAAGGGUGGCCAGGAGGCCGGCGGGCAGCUGCGGGUCCUGCGUGCAUACAGCUUUGCAGAUAUCCUGUUUGUGACCAUGCCCUCCCAGAACAUGCUGGAGUUCAACUUGGCCAGUGAGAAGGUCAUCCUCUUCUCAGCCCGAGCGCACCAGGUCAAGACCCUGGUAGAUGACUUCAUCUUGGAGCUGAAGAAGGACUCUGACUACGUGGUCGCUGUGAGGAACUUCCUGCCUGAGGACCCUGCGCUGCUGGCUUUCCACAAGGGUGACAUCAUACACCUGCAGCCCCUAGAGCCACCUCGAGUGGGCUACAGUGCUGGCUGCGUGGUUCGCAGGAAGGUGGUGUACCUGGAGGAGCUGCGACGUAGAGGCCCCGACUUUGGCUGGAGGUUCGGGACCAUCCACGGGCGUGUGGGCCGCUUCCCUUCGGAGCUGGUGCAGCCCGCUGCUGCCCCCGACUUCCUGCAGCUGCCAACGGAGCCAGGCCGCGGCCGAGCAGCCGCCGUGGCCGCUGCUGUGGCCUCUGCAGCCGCUGCACAGGAGGUGGGCCGCAGGAGAGAGGGUCCCCCAGUCAGGGCCCGCUCUGCUGACCAUGGGGAGGACGCCCUGGCGCUCCCACCCUACACAAUGCUCGAGUUUGCCCAGAAGUAUUUCCGAGACCCUCAGAGGAGACCCCAGGAUGGCCUCAGGCUGAAAUCCAAGGAGCCUAGGGAGUCCAGAACCUUGGAGGACAUGCUUUGCUUCACCAAGACUCCCCUCCAGGAAUCCCUCAUCGAACUCAGCGACAGCAGCCUCAGCAAGAUGGCCACCGACAUGUUCCUAGCUGUAAUGAGGUUCAUGGGGGAUGCCCCACUGAAGGGCCAGAGUGACCUGGACGUGCUUUGUAACCUCCUGAAGCUGUGCGGGGACCAUGAGGUCAUGCGGGAUGAAUGUUACUGCCAAGUUGUGAAGCAGAUCACAGACAAUACCAGCUCCAAGCAGGACAGCUGCCAGCGAGGCUGGAGGCUGCUGUAUAUCGUGACCGCCUACCACAGCUGCUCUGAGGUCCUCCACCCACACCUCACUCGCUUCCUCCAAGACGUGAGCCGGACCCCAGGCCUGCCCUUUCAGGGGAUCGCCAAGGCCUGUGAGCAGAACCUGCAGAAAACCUUGCGCUUCGGAGGUCGUCUGGAGCUCCCCAGCAGCAUAGAGCUUCGGGCCAUGUUGGCAGGCCGCAGUUCCAAGAGGCAACUCUUUCUUCUUCCUGGAGGCCUUGAACGCCAUCUCAAAAUCAAAACAUGCACUGUGGCCCUGGACGUGGUGGAAGAGAUAUGUGCUGAGAUGGCUCUGACACGCCCUGAGGCCUUCAAUGAAUAUGUUAUCUUCGUUGUCACCAACCGUGAGGCUGCCCGCAUUCCUUGGCCCAUGGCCCUUUCCUCCAUCUCCAAAGCCAGCAGUGUAGAAUCCUCAUAUCUCUCUCCCUGCCAGCCUCUGCUUCUGGUCUCACAUCUCCUCCUCUGAUUCUGACCCUUCUGCUUUCCUCUUAUGAGGACCCAUGUGCUGACGACGCUGGGCCUGCUUGGAUAAUCCAGGAUCAUCUCCAUCUCCACAUCCUUAACUUAAUCACAUGUGCAGAGUGCCUUUUGCCAGGAAAGUGACAUAUUCAUAAGUUCUAGGGAUUAGGACCUGGACAUCUUUGGAGGGGUCAUUAUUCAGCCUGCCACAGAAGUUGUGACUUACUCACAGUCACACAGUGGUAAUCAUGUAAUCAUACCAAACUCCCUCUCUUUAGUAAGAUUUUACUGCAGGUGUGAGAUGGGUGGCAAAAAUGUCAGUGCAAGAGAGAAAAACUUGGGCUUCUCCCAGGCUCAGACCCCAAUCCUCCCCACCCCCACCUAUGCCAGGUACCUGGCAAGGGGUCUCUCCUGAAGGAGGUCUGCAGAAAGGCACCCACUGGGUCUCAUAGUGUGAGGCCUCUUGUGUUUGUCCUUGUUCCCAGCCUCCUCUGGAAAGGAGCUGGGCCUUCUCUGAGAAUAAUGCAGGGCACUUUCCCAGAUCCAGGCAGGCCACACUCGGGGCACUCCUCAGGAGCCCCUCUUUCCCCAGGAGAAAUGGAGCAUUACUUAAAGCUUUGAAUUGGAGUUAUUACCAUCUGUGGUCAUCAAUAUUUCAGUAAAACAUAGGACACCCCAUUCGACAAGCAUGCUCUCCUAAUUUAAUGAGGAAGCUGUGUCCCAGAACAGGCAGGUGGCUUGUCCGAGGUGAUACCUCACCUGGGUAGCAGAUUGGGGUCUGCACACAUGCUCUGUACAGGUGCACACAUGUGUGUGCACACAUGCCCCCACCCAGCCCUGCCUCCCUGCUCUCUGCAGGCCAGCAUGUGUGCCCACUCAGUCGCCGUGCUUACAUCCUGGAUGUGGCCUCAGAGAUGGAGCAGGUGGACGGCGGCUACAUGCUCUGGUUCCGGCGUGUGCUCUGGGAUCAGCCACUCAAGUUCGAGAAUGAGCUAUAUGUGACCAUGCACUACAACCAGGUCCUGCCUGACUACCUGAAGGGACUCUUCAGCAGUGUGCCGGCCAGCCGGCCCAGCGAGCAGCUGCUGCAGCAGGUGUCCAAGCUGGCUUCACUGCAGCAUCGCGCCAAGGACCACUUCUACCUGCCGAGCGUGACCUCGUGGCCGGGCAUGGUGGUGCACGCCUGUAACGCCAGCUACUCGGGAGGCUGAGGCAGAAGAAUUGCUUGAACCCAAGAGGCAGAGGUUGCAGUGAGCUGAGAUUGUACCACUACACUCCAGCCUGGGCAAUAGAGCGGGAAGUCCAGGAGUACAUCCCAGCCCAGCUCUACCGUACAACGGCAGGCUCGACCUGGCUCAACCUGGUCAGCCAGCACCGGCAGCAGACACAGGCGCUCAGCCCCCACCAGGCCCGUGCCCAGUUUCUGGGCCUCCUCAGCGCCUUACCUAUGUUCGGCUCCUCCUUCUUCUUCAUCCAGAGCUGCAGCAACAUUGCUGUGCCAGCCCCUUGCAUCCUUGCCAUCAACCACAAUGGCCUCAACUUUCUCAGCACAGAGACUCAUGAAUUGAUGGUGAAGUUCCCCCUGAAGGAGAUCCAGUCGACGCGGACCCAGCGGCCCACGGCCAACUCCAGCUACCCCUACGUGGAGAUUGCGCUGGGGGACGUGGCAGCCCAGCGCACCUUGCAGCUGCAGCUGGAGCAGGGACUGGAACUGUGUCGUGUGGUGGCCGUGCACGUGGAGAACCUGCUCAGUGCCCAUGAGAAGCGGCUCACAUUGCCCCCCAGCGAGAUCACCCUGCUCUGACCCAGCCCCCAGCUCUCCAGUACCUUCUGCCAGAAGACUCACUGUGUGGCCUCAGAGAAAUCACUGAACCUCUCAGGAUCAAUGACCCCUGUAAGGGGCCAGAGCCUUGGAGGACACUAAGAGGAGGCAGGAGGAGCAACUCAAAUCCCCAGCAACACAAGAAGACCCAUCCUGAACUGGGAUGGAAUGGCAGCAUGCAAACUUGGAUCAGAUAGCAGGAGGAACUUUCAAAAGUCUGGCCCACUGUGCAGUGGAGCAGAAGGCAGGACCAUGAGGCCUCCUGCCAUGUACCCAUUGCAGACCCUGCCCCUAACUCCUGCCUAUGACACAGAAGCCCCACACUAGUUGCCCAGAUGAACUGGCCUCUGCCUUUGGUUUACUCAGGGUCUGAUGUUGGAAUCUGCUCCAACUCCACACCCUAGCCCUUACAUGUCCUCCUAAGGGGCCCCUCCUUGUGCUGCCAGUCAGCCUGGAUUUCUGGUCUUUGGUUAUUUCUGUGCAAACAAAAGGUGUGCCUGGCAGCCAUUUCUCCAUGGAGUUGCUAAGUGGCUGGAAAACAAGCCUGAGGGAGGAGGCAGGAGUUGGAGUUACCUUAGGCCCCUGAUUCACUGCCUACGAACAGACCAUCCCCCACUCCUUGGGUAUCCCCAACCCCAGACCCCCAUCACUUGAUGGGCCACACAAGUUUGAGAGUGGUACAAGGGAGAAGUUUGGGAAAAGCCUUCUUGGAAAAUGGGACAUUAGCAUUGAGUUUUGAAAGAUGAGUAGGAGUUUGCUAAGAAUAGAUGGAAGACAGCAGGAUAAACAUUCCAGAGAAAAUCAUGUUUAUUCCCUGCUAUAUCUUCCAGAACCUAGGAGGAUGCCUAACAGAGAGUAAGCACUUAAAAAAUAUUUGUCAUAUGAAUGAAAAAAUAAACGAAUGAAUGUUGAUAGAAA